rnacentral:ncRNA from 1 species
GUCAUAAGAGGAUAGAACGGGCAGCUAUCACGCCUACUACGUAGGUCUUUUAAGAGAUGCAGGGUUGCCAACCUGCCUUAUGAC